rnacentral:lncRNA from 1 species
GGGGGAGAAGGAGGGGUGGGGGACUCCAUUCAAAUCCCGUCUUCCUCCUGUCGCAUACCUGCCAGAGAUAGACGAAGCAGACCACGAUCCAGACGAGAGGCAGCCACAGCCCGUUGAGGUAGAGGACGCUCUCGGUCAGCCGCUGCACGUCCACGGACACCAGGUUGACCACAUCACCCACCGCACUGGCCUUUCUGGAGCCACUGGACAGAGCCAGGACCUGGCGGGUGGGCAGAAGGAGAGAAGUAAAGUGGGGAGGCCGGGGCAGAGGGAUGCCCCAGGUGGCUUCUCCACCCAGUGAGCCCCACUUCACGCGUCUGCGAGGUGGAUCUGUGACCCGGGGCCACGUGCUGGGAUCAGCUCUUUACACGAAGGAGCUCACUGACUCCCCUGGAUCCCCUUGCCAGGUCUCACCUCCCAUCAAGGAAGAUGUCCAGAUUGCUGUCUGACGUCUGGUCUCUGGACUGAAGGCCAUUUAGUGCAGAUCUCACAAAUGAUGGUGGGGCAAGGCAGGGGGUAUGCAUGAGUGGCAUGGGCAAGGUGUGAGUUGGGGGAUACAAAAGGGAGUGGUGGAGGCCGG